AGUCACUGACAUUAGACUACCCCCGUAGUCCCAGCCGUAAACAAUGUGCGUUAGGUGUGUCGGUAACCACGCGUUACUGAUGCGCCGCAGGGAAGCCGUGAAGCGAGCCACCUGGGAAGUACGGUCGCAAGGCUAGAAACUUAAAGGAAUUGGCGGGGAGCACCACAACGGGUGGAGCUUGCGGUUUAAUUGGAUUCAACGCCGGAAAUCUUACCGGGACCGACAGCAACAUGAAGGCCAGGCUGAAGACUUUGCCGGAUUAGCUG
rnacentral:rRNA from 1 species